UGGGGAAUAUUGGACAAUGGGCGCAAGCCUGAUCCAGCCAUGCCGCGUGUGUGAAGAAGGCCUUCGGGUUGUAAAGCACUUUCAGUAGGGAGGAAGCGUUGAGUGUUAAUAGUACUCAGCGUUGACGUUACCUACAGAAGAAGCACCGGCUAACUCUGUGCCAGCAGCCGCGGUAAUACAGAGGGUGCAAGCGUUAAUCGGAAUUACUGGGCGUAAAGCGCACGUAGGCGGUUUUUUAAGUCAGAUGUGAAAGCCCCGGGCUCAACCUGGGAAUUGCAUUUGAAACUGGAAAACUAGAGUGUGUGAGAGGGGGGUAGAAUUCCAAGUGUAGCGGUGAAAUGCGUAGAGAUUUGGAGGAAUACCAGUGGCGAAGGCGGCCCCCUGGCACAACACUGACGCU
rnacentral:rRNA from 1 species